UCCCUGACGCGUUCCCCCUAAGACUACAUUGUUUUCUUAGUUAGCAUGGUGGCUCUUUACAUACAUACAUAUAUACACAUAUACAUAUAUAUAUAGGGUAUUUUUACGGAGGGAAUGUUCUUUCCUUUAUUCUUUUUCACGUGGUCCCAAUAUUUCAUUCCGCUGUCAGCAUCAGACGCUGUCACUACAUGUGCCAGGUUUUAUGCCAAGCUCCUGAGAUUUCCAUGUUCCCUGGUACCAAGGGAGCUUAUUUUUGUUUCUAUUUUUAUUUAUUAUUUUUGUUUCCCCUUUUCUUUCUGAAAUUGCAAUCAGUGAUGCAUGUGACGGGCAACAGAAACAACAGAGUUAUGUAAGAGCUGGUAAACAGUAAUAAUAUGAGCCCUGAGGAAGCUAGGAGGGUUGGUGGGAUGGAGCUGCCCUAGAUGAUGAAGGAGAGCUUAAAAUUCAGGUAAUUUAUUGUACCAUUUAAGACUGAGGCACCACAAAGACUGAGGCACUCUUUGGAACAAUAUUUUGCCUUUUUGAGUGUAGCCAUAAGGAGUGUGUGUACCUUAGCACUGCCCAAGCAUAGCUGCCAGGUGACUUGUGCCUUCUCCACAACAUCUUCUGCACAAUCCAUUUCACUUAAUAGUAGCAGUACCAGUUGUAAAAAAGUUACAUAUUAGAAGCUGUAUGGGAAAUGUAAUCAGGGUAAUCUUUCAUAUCUUUAAGUCAAAACCAGAUGUAAACUGAAUUGCCUUUCUGAAGAAAAGCGGCCACUUACUUUGAAAGAGAAAUAGUUGGAAGAGUGCAUGCGUUCAACCUUGUGCAUGCUGUGAUAUACUCCAGCUUCAUCAGUGGACAUAUUCUGUCACUUUGGAGGUUUCUGCCACUUGACUGCUUGGAAAAAUUGAUAAUUAUGACUUUCAGAGUUAUUAAAGGAAAAUGUAUUUUCUGUUAAAAAGUCCAGUUUAGUAGGACAUGUGAUGUUUGUAGCUGUUUGCAUUUUUCCCUGCCUCGUUUUCUCUGUGGCAUAGAGUCAGAUUAAUUCAGAGUGAACCAAUGGCUCAAACACCAGUAAAUAUUCCUCUUACAGUUAAGAAAUGGAGAAUAGUGCAGAGUAAAGUAGCUUGUGCAUUACACUGAAUGUGAUCAUAAGCAAAAUUGUUUCUAUUUUUCCUCUUUUUCCGUAUAGCUACUGCAAAGCCUUGUCAGAUGAGGUAAACCAUAAAACAAAUGUUUAAAUGCUGUCUGAUGGUAGAUUCUUCUUUGGCCUAAACAAAGUGAUGCAAUAAUUUUUAUAUUUUAUAUUUCUCUUUUGAGAAAUGUAAGAGAGGCUGUAUAAGGAAAAAAAAGAAGCAAGGUUCAAUGUCUAGAGAAGGAAAGCAGAAACAUCUCCUCUAUCACAAAGGACUAAGAGAACACAUCAGUUUUAUCUGUUUGAUAAAGCAUAAAAAUUAGCUUCAAUAUCUACAGUAAAAACAACAAAAGACAGGGUGUCUUUGGCCAAUGACUCUUAAUUGUCUCAAGACUCUUUUUAGUACCUGCCUGACAUGAGAAAAUGUCCUAAGGAGAAAGUGUGAUUUACCCAUUAGAGGGCAAAUUGAAACAGAGGUGUUGAAAGGAUAAGGAGAAAAUAAUGACUAACAGCUGUUGUUCCCCUGCAUAUUUUCACACUGUCUUCUUGGCUUUACAGUUCAGUAGUGCAGUCCUGUUUAUUGAGAGAAAUAGAAAAGUCUGUCAUUGAAUUAAUAACUUAUUCUCAUUGACACCAUAAAAAAACCCAACCCCAAAUCUUAACAUUUUGCUAUCUUCCCCCUGACCUUGACAUACAAGCUAGAAACUGGUAAAUCAGGGAUAGAAGAUGCUUUGUCUCUUACAGUUUGUGCACAAAUCAACAGUAGCAGUGUAUUGGUAAGUUACUAUCAGAGCCACAGUUUCAUCAUGCUAAAAUCUCUGUGAGGAGAUUGGCUACGUACAGCUGCUGAGCAAAUAGACAAAUGGGAGUGCUGGGACACACUUAAAACUGGUUCUUUGCAUAUAGUAGUGGAAUGCAUAGUGCUGAAUUCAACAUGAAGUCUGAUAGAGGUAGUCCCCUCAUGCAUGUUCUUGACUCUUCUAACUAAAGCAAUAUUUCCCAUUCUGUGCCUUAGUUCCUGCUUUUUUGAAUUUCAGCUUUUUAAGAAAACUCCAGGUCCUGAGUUGAAGGUUGAUGUUGGUUGCACCUAUGUAACUAGACAGCCUUUAGUAAAGCAAGGCUGGGAGUCAGCUGGGAGUCAUUCCUUUAUACCGGAAUGAAAACUGAAAUAUUAUGUUAUAUAGUUUUAUUUACUCUCUUGUGGAAUAGUAAAAAUAUCUGGGCAUUCUGCCAGUUAUCAGCUUCUUGAAAAUUUCUCUCAAGAUCAUAUAUUUUUGAAAAUUUCCUUAUACCACUUUCCAAGCAGGUGAUAGCUGGUCAUUUACGGGGUUCAAUCCUGUUUAGCCACAGUUGAAUUUUUAUAGGGAUGCAAUUGAAGAAUUUCAAAUACAGUACAAAAAAUUCUUGUGCAGUCACUCUGGAUUUACAGCAAUAGAACUAAAACCCAAUUUUGUUUUGUCAGAAUUAUACCAAGCAGUAUUUAUCCAGAAUGAAAGUAAUUCACUUGAUUAUGUUUAGGUUGAUUAAAAGUGCUUUUGUAGCUUUCUGCAGUAUGACAUCUUGAAACGUAGUGCACUGUUAAUAGGAUACACAGAAGAGCAAACACAGAGGUCUUUAGAGAUUUCAGUGUGCUACUAUAAACAAAGAAGGUGUUCACAAAUGGCUUAGAGCUAAAUUUGACAAGACAGUGCUAAUCACACUUGGACAUGGGAAUAUCUGGACAGAGGACACUCAGAUGGCUUUAUAUUCACCUCUCUGAAAGCAGAACAAGCUCUCACUAAUAAAGCAGGGAAAUUAUUGCAUGAAAUUAUUGUAUGAAAAUUAUUGCAUGAGUUGAUAUAGGGAGAGGAUUGGCUUGAUCUUUUUAGGACUUCAUUUUAGUGGAGAAAAGCAAGGUCAAACAUGGAACUGCUCCUCUGCUUACUGAGACUGAACUGAGAAAACUGAUUAACUGAAAAAAUUUGAUCUUGACUAUGUUACAGCCUAGCUUCAUCUUGAUGCUUUCACUUUUGGCAACACUUCAGGACCAAUUUUUGGAAAAUAAGUCUAAGCCUGAUAUUUGCAUAUUGAUAUUGGCUGCACAUGCAUAUGUCAUUUAUUUACAGGUUUGGUCUGUUAGCUCAUAAAUAGAUCAUUUUUUUGCCACUAAAAGCAAAUUUUGCAUGGGAACUUUAUGUGGAUAGCUUUGGUAGAUGUUCAUCUGUGUGCAAUUACGAACACUUUACUGAAAACUUUGCAAUGGUGUGUUAUGAAGCCUCAAGCAUUUCUUAGUUGUGAUAUGACAUGUAUGGCAUUUUUUCUGCUAUAAUUUGAAAGUAAAGCAUCAGUCUGUAAAGAACAGAGAUCAACACAGAUAUCUUUGCCAACUUUUAUCCUUACCAUUAUUUGGUCUUGAUACAGUAUUUUCAAUAGAUCUAAUGUACCUGAAACUCAGUUUCAUUCAACAUUUCCACAAAAUUAUUUUUUUUUGUUAGUAAAUAAUAUGAGACCCAAACUAGAUCUGAAGAAAUAAAAUAAAUACAAAUUAACUUUUCUUAUUAAAAAAAAUAAAAAUAAAAAUAAAGGAACAGAACUUAAUCAGCAAAUUGGUCUAUUCACAUUACCAAUGAUACCAAUGGCUAUAAAACUAUUGCUUGCCUGAUAAAGACUGUGCUCAUCGUAUUGCUGUAGUGUAUUUUUUCCAUCCUAUUUAUGCACAAAAAUGUAGCACAUAUUCAAAGAGUGUUAUUCCACUUAAGCCCAAGUGCCAUGUGGUUCCUACAGAGGGGUAUGUUUGGAGGCCUGAAGAUGGAAUGCUCUUUCAUGGACACAUCCAUUUCACUUUGCCUCGUUUCUCCGGAUUUUGACUAGGCUGUAAUAGCAUUAAACAUCCUUCUUUCAUUUUAUAGGGAAAAUUAUUCUUCCCCUUCCUCUGUUAAACUGAAAUACUGGAAGGAAAACUUUGUGAAAAGGAGGGAUGCAGUUCCAGAAAAGCACAUCUUUUCAUGCACUCUUUGCUAUUGGCAGCCUAGCUCCUGGUAACAGUGCUAGAGGAUUCAGGGGUGAAUGGCCACACUUGAAAGAGCACAGCUCUUACACUCUGCUCUGUCAACAAGACUGAAAACCUCCAGCUUUUCUAGAUUUACCCCAGUCCUGAUGCUGUUAUAAACUUUGUGGUCGGGUGAUCGUUGGUAUCUGCUGGGAGUUGAGCAACGGGUUUGUGUUUGUGGCACACACACAGCUACUUGAGACCUCCACGUGUCCAUGUGGCAAGGUGUGACUGCACACAGCAGCUUGGGCUUCCUCAUUUCCCUCCCCCAUUGCACUCCACUCCCAGGCCCAGGCUGGCAAAUGGUAAGGGAUCCACAUUGGAAAGCAACACAUCAAGGGACUGAGAAUGUGUAAUGGAAUCAGCCACCAGUUACAGGGAUCUUUCAAAAAAAUUAGAGUAUCACUUGCUAUUGAGUUAUGGGCACUUUAAAUUCCAUGCAGAUAAACAGAGACAUCAGUGCUGAACACCAACCUUGUUAAGCUCUUUUAAUAGAAUGGGAGUCAGUGAAACACUGAUACAUCACUGAUGUCAGCACUCAGCAGAAGUGUCUGGCUGCCUCAGCAUAAUGCAGCAUAAUGUCACAGUGUUUGCUGCAGUUGGAGCACACAGUGCUGCAGUGUGGCACUGGCAGGAUUUGUCCUCUUGCCUCUGGAAGUGAGAGGCAGCCAAAUGAAAUGAAGUCAAGAGCUAUUGACAGAAGAGAUGAAGAAAUUAAGAUAAUCACUGGAAUGUCCUGAUCUCACUCCUCUGGUAAUACAGUCCCUAGCAAUGUCAUUUGUCCUCUCACAGUGUUCCAUUCAAUUAACUGUUUCUUCAGAUUUAUUGCUUUCCUGGCUACGAAGAUAGUAAUGGAAGCAGAGUGGUUGUUUUUCAAUUUCCCUUGUCUCUCCAAGCUAUCAGCACAGCAUCAACUUUCCAAAAGGAUACAUGCCACUAAUCUGGUGAUGUAUAUAAUGCAGUAUUUAACCUCUGUCAGGAAAGAACAAAUGGCAAGAAACAGAGCUGUACCUCUGACAAACAAGCACCUGAGAAAGGUGAUGUAAGUCCUAAAGAUAAGCAGUGCCAGCCCUGAGGAAUACACACAGUGUCUUGUACUGCACUGCAGGGAUGUCAGAGCUCUCACACUGGCGCCCAGAGAUAAGCGCUGACAGAGACCCCCUAAGCCUGCAGUUCUCCCCCGGCUUCUUGUGACUGAUGUUACAAGGCUGCCAAUUCCAUUAUGUCAGAAUUUCAGCACUUCUUCAUGGCAUGCUCACAUCUCAGGGUUCCUUAGUGGUGGCACUGAGCACAAGGCUGGUAGAGGCUGCUAGUCUGCCUGUUUAAAUGAAGAUGCAGAUAAAUGGCAGAGGUACCAAGAGUAAAUAUUGGUGUCACUUAUUUUUAAGGCUGCUUAUUGAUGCCCUUAAAAAUCACAAUUUCCAUUGCUUAUAAUUUUCCAAGUUUUACUUGGGCUAAAUUUUCUUGUCGUAGGAGAAUUAGUUUGGGGGGGAAAGUACAAUCAAAAUGAGACAGCUCAAAUCACUGAGCCAUUUUCAAGGAUCAUAGAAUGGUUUGGGUUGAAAGGGACCUUAAAUAUCUAGUUUCAACCCCUCUGCCAUAGGCAGUGAUGCCACUUACUAGAUCAGUUUGCUCAGGGCCCCAUCCAACCUGGCCUUGAACACUUUCAGGGAUGGGGGAGAAAUGGUAGAAACAUCAUAUUGCAACAUAAAAAAGUUCUGGUCCUUUUUUGAGGGAGGAGUAGUCUCCAGUAGAUAGGGGGAAGGGCAGCUUCAGGGUGUAGAAAGAGCAGACCAUGUUUGAGCAAGCAGACUGGACCAAGUCCCCAGUAGGCAGUAGAGAAUAGGAAGAGGGAAGGAGUAGGACAAGUCACCAAGGAGUAAGUUUGCAGAAGCAAAGCAAGAGUGACUGACAGAGGAGCUGGCAAAAGAAAGCAUUGAGCAUGGGAAGGACAAUUUGGACUGGAAAAGAGUAAAUUGGUGAUGUCAGAUAGCAAUAGGUUCUGUGAAGAGGGAAAGAUGGAUGGAAGGAGAGACUGGGAGAGAGAAAUAACAUUAAACAGGGUAAGAAAACAGGCGAAGGACUGAGGACAGGAAGAGCUCCAAGUGCCUACAAAUGGAGGAAAGACUGGGAAAACAGUCAGAAGGCUUGAGACAGGUUCUUCCUAGUGAAGGAUAUUGGGCCUGGAUGUCUUGGUCCCAGAGGUAGUCUGAAGAGAGGAGGUUAGAAUUUGGGGCUGAUUAAUAAGAAGUGAGAUGAAAAGCCAAAUUGGGAAGAUACAAGACUAAAAUAUUAGUAGAUUUGAGGGACAGGGAGAGAGGAAUGGAGUUGGAAAAAACCAGGUAUAGGAGCUGUAGCUCCAAUGUAUACCUUCCCAAAGCCUAUAUGGACCUCUGGAGACCCUACUCUGGCAAAGCCUGAGAAACCUGCUGGCAAAGUCCCAUCACCUUCUAGAUAUGAGGCUCCUGACUGCACUUGAAAUUUAUGAGGAUCAUGCCUUAAAUGCAGUACUAUAUAAUUCAAAGCUAUGGAAAAAUGAGAUCCUCAUUAUCUCAAACUGGCCAGCUGGGUUUAAAGAGCCUUUUUGAUAUUAGUUACCUGGGUAUAAAAUGGUAGCAAUAGUCCCUAGAGGCUCCAUGAAGUCUGUUAGUUAAUGCCUUCAGCCGCCAUGGUUACUGGCACUGCAGAAUCUUAGAAUCAUAGAAUGGUUUGGGAUAGAAGGGACCUUAAAAGAUCACUUAGGUCCAACCCCCCCUGCCAUCAGAGCAGCAUUUUGAAAUACUGUCUGCAAGUUUUUGCUAUGCAAGAAACCGUCAGAGGGUGCAGACUGUGCAGAGAACAACUGAUAUCUUGAAAAGCCAUUCAAUACAUUCUCAUCAACUAUUCUGGGCACCGGGAGAGGGAAGGGACUUGGGAAAAACAGAAGAUGGUGGAGCCAUUGACUGCCAUAAUGUGUAUACUGAAAAAAACCCUCAUGUUGACUGGCAGCACGCUGGAAAUGUACAAGGGAUUCAGUGGCCUCUAAAGGAAAUACAGUUUUAAAUCCUGCCCUGGCUUCCUCUGAAACCUGCAGUGACUUUACUUUGAACUGCAAGGGAGUGAUAUCAACUCUCAGCUGAUGUCGCAGUGCCAAUAAACAUGUUCCGUUUGGAGGAAGGGAAGGAAAGCCUGUCUUGACACUGCAAGACCUGUGUCUGCUCAACCAGACAAAGAGAAAAUAUUGUCUUCUGAGGAUUCAUCCUUUCACUGCAGUUCUUCAAAGAACUGUAGAUCUGAGAGGCCCUUCAUGAGUUUGCUUAUAUCAUGAGCAAGAAAAUAGUGGAAGAGCCAUGCUUGUUUUUUCCCACACUGAAGCCAAGAAAAAAAACUGUUUGAAGAAAAACUGAUGGUAUUUUUCUAAAGAGGUUACUAUUUUUCUUCCCUUUCCUGCUGCAGCUUCUGUUCUCUUUCAUUGCUCUCUUUCCAUGGUAGGAGAGCAGGUGCAAGGCAGACGCUUUGGCAGUAGAGAUGUUCUAGUACUAUAAUUAUAAUCAACAUUUCUGUGUAAAAUACCCAAGGGUUUCUGCAUGCACAACACAUACAGGAAGUUCCACAUGGAGUUUUCAGUUGCUUGCUCUUAGCCAUAAAUGCUAACAUGUUUAAUCUUCUGGAGAAUUCCAUUUUUUGAGGGGGUGGGGAGGGAGUGGUGGGUAAGGGUUGAAAUGAGAGGUAAUGUCUCUGGAAAGUACUGGCUUGACCAGGCUUAAUCCUCCCUUGCGUUCAAGAUGCCCUUGGUGUAGUGGAAUGAGAGGAACCAUUGUGAAUACUCUGCAAAAGCUUGGAUUUAUGAAUGGCAUCAGCCUCAGCCUCCCCAGCACACACUUAGGUACGUAUGUAAGGCUGACAGUGGAGAAGGACCAGAGGCAUGAGCAGCACUAGGCUUUGUCAUUUUUAUGGGCUUUACAUGGGCAUGGGAUUCCGUAUCACAGGCCAAGUAGCAGGACAAAUCUGUAAUGGAACUCAGGGCCAGAAAGCAGUGGCAGCAUAAGCUUUCUGGGAGCACUCCCUGGAGGAGGUGGACGUGGGAUUUGUGUCCUGCUCUGUGCUAUGCAUGCAAACCACAGUGACAGUUGGGUAAUGCCUUUCUGAGGCAGAUACAAGAAAUUAGCUUGGCUUAACAGCACACCUCAGUGAGCACUGGAACCAAGGAUAUAAUUUUCAAUAAAUCAUUUAUUUCAAAAGGUUUACCUUUGUGUGUGCAAAUGUGCACGUUUCUUUAUUUCUGUAAUAUAACUGUGUACACGCUGAGAAAUACUUGAAUUUUGUUUGUUUAUUUUAAAACAUACAUCUCCAUUUUUAAUAAAUUAUGCACAAACCUGUUUUGUA